rnacentral:misc_RNA from 1 species
GAUGAAGAACGUAGCGAAAUGCGAUAAGUAAUGCGAAUUGCAGAAUUCAGUGAGUCAUCGAAUCUUUGAACGCACAUUGCGCCCUGUGGUAUUCCGCAGGGCAUGCCUGUUCGAGCGUCAUUUCAACCCUCAAGCCCCGCUUGGUGUUGGGCCCCGCCCGCUGUGGCCGGCCCUAAAGACAGUGGCGGCGCCGCCUGGUCCUCAGCGUAGUACAUCUCUCGCUCCAGGGUCCGGUGGCCGCCUGCCAGAACCCCCCAACUCUGUGGUUGACCUCGGAUCAGGUAGGGAUACCCGCUGAACUUAAGCAUAUCAAUAAGCGGAGGA